rnacentral:lncRNA from 1 species
AUGGGAAGCAAAGGCAGUGUUGACUCUGGCAGCUUUUGCUAUGGAAUAUGGGGAGUUCUGGCUCCUUGCCCAGCUUCAGGAAUCGCACCGACUUGCCAAAUCAAUUUCAAUCCUGAAGAGAGUCCCUUUCCUCCUCAAGCCAUCAAACCUGCAAAAAAGAAGGCAAGCAGUGCUUGAGCUUAACAACUUGAUCAAGACUACAUUGCAAGUUAUCGAGAUCUUCGAUCAGUUCGAUAAGCUUUCUAGUUAUGACCCAAAAGAUGUGCCGGAGUUGGCAUCAGCAAUGGACCAUAUUCCAGUGGAUGUGUAUUGGGCUACUGUGACUGUUGUUGCUUGUGCAACUAAGGUCACUAUUCUUACCAGUGAUGUGUACGUUCUUCAUCCUCAAUAACUUUGAAAAAUACUUAUUUGCAUGUAUGUUUAGUAUACUUUAUAAUAUGACCAUGGUUGCCUUUGUUUCAGGGAGAAGGAACAUGACCUAGCCCCAUAUGCUCAAAAAAUCCACUUCGUCCUGAACAAGCUUAAGAUUCAGCUGAAAAUUUGCAGAACACAGAUUGGUGUGUAAUUACUGGCACAUCUUUCAUUAGGAAUCAUAUUAACUAUAUGUUGUACCUUGCAAUUAAUGAAAUGCUGAAGAAAAUAUUUAUUGUUUAAUCCAGAGGAGGCGGAGACUUACCGGAAGCUCAAGAAAACCUUUCGAACCCCUACUGAAGUAAAGGAGGUUUUCAAGGCCCUGAUCUUUACCAAGGACAAUGUUCAGCCACUGAUUGAUGGUUCCACUAAACAAAC